AAGGAUAUUACGGAAUGACCAUUAGGUCAUGGAAUAACGAAGACAUAUUGUAUUCAGUUUUGAAUGUUUAUAACAUUCAACAUUGCACAUUGAAAACUAGAUAAGUAAGCAAUAGAUUUUACCAAGCAAAAAACCGAGUGAAUUUCUAACGAAAUUCAACAAGCUUAAUAAUCGCGCGUCGUCUUUAUAGACGACAUCACAGAUUAAUAACUCGUAAAACUGGUAAACAAGUAUCUCACUUAAAAGCGCCUGAAAGCGUUUGAAGGUGAUGAGAUGAAAUGAAUCACGAAGUGAUGUUUACUUUUGUAAAUGAACAAGAGAUUCAUGAAUCGAAGAAAGAUGCGAACGUUUGACCAAGCUUUUACAC
rnacentral:misc_RNA from 1 species